UUUUAAGGUUCGUCCACAUCAUAGUACGGACUGGUAUCCUACUUUUAUGGCUGAAUAAUAUUCUGCUUCAUGGAUAGACCACGUUUCGUUUAUCCAUUUAUCAGCUGAGAGAUUUUCCCUCUUGUGAAUAAAGCGUCUGUGAGCGUCCAUGCGCGAGGUUGUGUGGGCUCUCUUGCCUGAGAGUAAAACGGCUGGGUCGUGUAAUCAUAAGAUCUUCACUGUUUUGAGCAACUGCUAGGCUCUUCCCAAGUGGCUGCGCCCUUCCCUUAUACAGUCCCCCGGCGUUGCGUGAGGGCUCCGCUUUCUCCGCAUCCUAGCCAAGUACUUGCUGUCUGUCUUUUGCUCUCUUUUUUGGCCACCCUACAUGGAAUCUUAGUUCCCCAACCAGGAACUUUAUUCUGUUUAACGUUUAUUCAUCUGCUGAGCCGAGUCUUGGUUGCAGCUUGGGAUUUCUUGUUGUGACCUGUGAACUCUAGUUGUGGCAGGUGGGAUCUACUUCCCUGAGCGGGGGCUGAACCCAGGCCUCCUGCACUGGCACAGUGGGGUAUCAGCUGCUAGACCACCAGGGAAGCCCCUGUGCUUUUGAUCACAGCCGUCCAGGUGGCUGUGAAGUUGUGGCUCUGAUUUGCGUUUCCCUACCUGCUGAUGAUGUUGGCGUCUUUUCAUGCCUUAAAAAAUUUUGGCUCAGAAGUAAAAUGAUCCAGUGUAGGGGUUUUCACACUUGCUUGAGCCUUAGAACUGUUAGAUGAGAGUUUACCGGAGAGUCUAAAACACAAAACGAAGAGUAUGAGAGCUGGGAUCAGGGCGCUCUACAGGGUGAGAAGAGAGCAGGGCUCGAGCCGCCCUGCUGGGCGUCUACCCAGAGCCUCCGCCACCACCGGGAUCACCCCAAAACAACUACAACUCUGUCAGCCACUGACCAGGCAACAUCGCAAGAUGACCGAGAAGACAGGACAGUUCUGGGGCUUAAGGCCCUGAUCUCGCGGGAUCUGCGUUUUCACAGAUGGAGGCAGCCAGCAGACAAAUAGAACAUCAGGCAGGAAUUAGGACUCGGCAGGGCUGAGAGCCCUUCCAGGGACCGGCAGCCACUGACUCCUUUGGCCGCUCCGGUCUCAGUGCUGCGUGUGUCGCCACACAUGGGCCCUGGUGCCCUGACCAGGGAUGGCACCCAGGACCCUGCUUUGGUAGCACAGAGUCUUAGCCACUGGACUGCCUCGGAGGUCCCUGACAUCUACUUGGACUUCUUUCUGCCAUGAGACAUCAGAACCUGAGAGUCAGUGUGUCCAGACGCAGAUGCUGAACCCCCGCCAGGCGGCAGAAGUUCAGUGUCUGCUGCCCACAGGCACGUAGACCCGAGACUCGCUGAAGCCGGAAGGUUGGUGACGCUGACUGUCACUCACCACACCACCAGCCCGUCAGCACGGCGUCCCCGAGCUGCUCACACAGGCCUUGAGCCACGACUACUCCCUCCAGGUCUGGACACACGGCUUUGAGGGCAUUAGCCCUCUGGGGCCCCUCAGCCUUGGCAAAGCAAGUAAAGAUAUUCUUUUCUACUUCACCCCCCUUCACACACACACACACACACACACACACAAAUAGACAAUGUGAUGGAAAAUAUGAGAGAAAAAUAGGAAAAUCAGAGUUAGUCCUGGAGAGUUAAACUUCUGAAAAACAGGGGUUCUUGGAAGACAGAAGAGAGGAAACAGCAGUAAGGAAAUCCUCUUGGAAAGAGCUCAGAAAACCCCCAAAUGGAGCUGAAGCAGCCUUCAGUUUCCAAGGGCAAAUGGCAAGGCAAGUGCCCAGGAGAGAGUUUGCAAACAGAAGUCAUGCCACAGCUAACCAGGACGCCAGGGUGUGGAGCCCUUGCCAGCUCCUCUGACAUACAGAGAGGGGGUCACGGCCAAAUGACCAGCAACCAAAAGGGGUCCAUACCCUACUGGGGGCGGGGGUGGAUACAUCUCCUAGUAACUUUCUUAAAAAAAAAAAAAGCAAAAU
ensembl:lncRNA